AACGAACGCUGGCGGCAGGCUUAACACAUGCAAGUCGAGCGCCCCGCAAGGGGAGCGGCAGACGGGUGGGUAACGCGUGGGAAUCUACCCAUCUCUACGGAAUAACGCAUGGAAACGUGUGCUAAUACCGUAUACGUCCUUCGGGAGCAAGAUUUAUAGGAGAUGGAUGAGCCCGCGUUGGAUUAGCUAGUUGGUGGGGUAAAGGCGUACCAAAGCGACGAUCCAUAGCUGGUCUGGGAGGAUGAUCAGCCACACUGGGACUGUGACACGGCCCAGACUCCUACGGGAGAAAGAAGUGGGGAAUAUUGGACAAUGGGCGCAAGCCUGAUCCAGCCAUGCCGCGUGAGUGAUGAAGGGCCUAGGGUUGUAAAGCUCUUUCACCGGUGAAGAUAAUGACGGUAACCGGAGAAGAAGCCCCGGCUAACUUCGUGCCAGCAGCCGCAGUAAGAC
rnacentral:rRNA from 1 species